rnacentral:lncRNA from 1 species
GAUUGAGGCUUCAAUAACAGUGUCUCAGUCCAUUCCCUAACAUGCGUUGUUUUAAACAGACAAGGUAGAAGGAAGAGCCUGGGCAGGCUUUGCAGCCUCUGAUCCAUUUGCAAGCUUUAGGAAGAGCUGAGAUUUCACUAUGAAGGACACCUCAUACUGAGACCCAGCAAGCUUUCUAUCUUGUUAUCUGAACCCUUCUUUAUUUGCAGCUGUAAGUCAGUCUAAGCAGGGCACAGAGGAGGUGGAUGCAUCCUCACGAAUGGCACUGGCACCUCUGCACAUUUCCAUCCCUGGCUGGAGACAGCACCAAGGACUAGAGGCAGGUUUGCUCUGCUCAGUCCCAGGAUGCAGCAGAAGGGGAUGAAGAAAGAGGCACAUAAUCCUGUCUGUGAUCCAAUCCAGUUUUUCCAGGUGAAAUCUCGUGUACUUCUGAGCCUCACAAAA